CCUACGGGAGGCAGCAGUCGAGAAUCAUUCACAAUGGGGGAAACCCUGAUGGUGCGACGCCGCGUGGGGGAAUGAAGGUCUUCGGAUUGUAAACCCCUGUCAUGUGGGAGCAAAGUAAAAAGAGAGUACCACAAGAGGAAGAGACGGCUAACUCGGUGCCAGCAGCCGCGGUAAGACAGAGGUCUCAAGCGUUGUUCGGAAUCACUGGGCGUAAAGCGUGCGGAGGCUGUUUCGUAAGUCGUGUGUGAAAGGCGCGGGCUCAACCCGCGGACGGCACCUGAUACUGCGAGACUAGAGUACUGGAGGGGGAACCGGACUUCUCGGUGUAGCCGU
rnacentral:rRNA from 1 species